rnacentral:rRNA from 1 species
UACAGAGGUCCCAAGCGUUGUUCGGAUUCAUUGGGCGUAAAGGGUGCGUAGGCGGCGCGGUAAGUCGGGUGUGAAAUCCCUCGGCCCAACCGAGGAACUGCGCCCGAGACUGCUUCUCUUGAGUCCCGGAGAGGAAGAUGGAAUUCCCGGUGUAGCGGUGAAAUGUGUAGAGAUCGGGAGGAACACCGGUGGCGAAGGCGGUCUUCUGGACGGUGACUGACGCUGAGGCGCGAAAGCGUGGGGAGCAAACGGG